rnacentral:rRNA from 1 species
UACGAAGGGGGCUAGCGUUGUUCGGAAUCACUGGGCGUAAAGGGCGCGUAGGCGGCUUUAUAAGUCGGGGGUGAAAGCCUGUGGCUCAACCACAGAAUUGCCUUCGAUACUGUAGAGCUUGAGACCGGAAGAGGUAAGUGGAACUGCGAGUGUAGAGGUGAAAUUCGUAGAUAUUCGGGAAGAACACCAGUGGCGAAGGCGGCUCACUGGUCCGGUACUGACGCUGAGGUGGCGAAAGCGUGGGGAGCAAACAGG